GUCCCUCCCCCAACCACCCCGAACGGAUAGACAGCCAUGAAAGAGGCUGACACCUGCACACUCAGGCACGACUUAAAAUAGAACUUGUCAAACAGUGAUCCUCUCUGGAUCAAGCUCGGAACAACAAACAGCUCUUGAACUCGCCUCCCAGCCUAAAAAGACUGCAGUGCACGUACAAUUCAGAGGACUUUCGAAAUUAUCUAAAAACAUGGGUGAUUCUCACUGCCAGCCUUGUCUGUGAGAAAAGUACAUAUCUAUGUCUGCACAGAUACGAGACAAAAAAUAAACCUUUAAUUUUUAAAAAUUAAAAUGUACACAGUAAUCUUGCUGUUAGUAUUGAAUUAAAACUAAAUAGGCAUGACUGUUCCUUGAAAGGAAUGAUAUAAUUUUCUUUAAUAUUUCAUGAGGUCUUCCCUUUUCAAUAAAGAUUAUUGCAAGUCACCAGAAAUAUUAGGUAUCUUGAGGUAUAUUCAGAUCGUUUUAAUUGUCCUCUCAAAUGAAAAAGGUCAAUAUACAAAUCCACCAUAAUCAGUUUUGUUAUUAUUCAUAUUUAAUUGGACCUGCCAGUCAAGUUAACUCCCAGGAUAUGGGAACACGGUAAAAUUCUAAGUACCACAGGUUAUAAAAAAGUUCCUCAAAACCAGUACUUA
rnacentral:lncRNA from 1 species